AUUCUCUCCCAACAAUCCUCAACAUAGGACAUCACACAAAUCUCAGUCUCGUAGCAGAAGAUACCACCGUCAGCAUCGAAAGCUUUGAACAUGUGUAAUUCCAGGUUCAAUUCAUUAUAAGAAGAGAUUAAGCAAUCAUGAACCAUUUAUGUUUAUAACGUUCAUAUCCAAAGUGCAGUGUUGUCAUUCCCCUAGCACAAGAAAGAAAAAUGGUCUAUAAUCGUUUCCAUAUGGUUGUCCAUAGUGCACGGUCCAACAGAGCACUUACAGAGACGAUCACGAUGGUCAUGGCAGUAGCUUUGGUGGUUGUUGAGAAGGGACAGCGAAAUUUCGAGAACGCGGUAGUGGUUAAAGACCGCGUGGCAUGUUGAAAACCCUACACAAGCAAGACGGCUAGGAACACGCGUCAAGAGAGAUGCUUGUGAGGAGAUGCUUUUUGUAUAUAUUUACAGCAGAGGAGAUGCUUGUUGCUUUGUUAGUACCCAUCCAUUUUGAUCUUCAUGAGGUGAAACUAUUUGUUUGGUUCUACUGAGCAGAUGAAAGCAAAAGGAGUGAUUAAAAAAAGAAAUGGAAGCUUUAUCAAUUCGGGAAUCUGAAGCAUGAUUGCGGCCCUACCGCACGCAUAGUGCCGCAAUAGAUAUCAGACAAAACCCAUAAGCCCUACCUUUUUGUUUUUUCCUUCUUAAUUCAAAGCCAAACCUUCAAUAGUACAACUUCGACAUGUGAUGAUUGUAGGCAUUAGAAUUUUUUUGUUCUCUAUUUUUCAAGAACACUUUUUUUU